CAGUCGUACCGGCGGAUAAUCAGCCUUUCGAGUAUGAUUCUGUGGAGUGUGAGGAGUUUAACCGCCUUCAUACCUGCAUAUUUGUGCGCUUUGGGUGUACUUGUCCGUAUGGUAGGUUAACAUCAAUUUUGGUCGUUAUAAAAUGGCUAGGGGAAUGUAGCUUUAAUCUCGUAUUGAAGUGUUAUAGCCUCUGGUAAAUGUAGUGACUAGGAUUGAGGAUUGCAACGGAUACCUUUCGGGGCUACUCGUCUGAUCUCUGGAAGUUACUUUGGUGCUAAAAGCUUGCUUAUGGUUAUCGAAGUUGACGGUCAAUAGGUUAGAACGAGUUAAA
rnacentral:rRNA from 1 species